CUCUGCUACUCCAGCCUGCAGGCUUCUCACAGUGCCAACUGGCACACGGAGAUGUGGAUCUUCUUGUCUGUCAUCCUGAGUAGCCACUGGAGAAGAGUGUGAAAAGGGAAUAAGGAAGACAGGCACCUUAAACUCCUGUAGGGGCAGCGCUGAGCACACUGUUCCAACACAGCGCCAUGGUGCUGCCCGGGGUCGUCGUGGUUGGGGUGGGGACGACAGCCAGUUCUGUUUGCCAGAAUCUUAUCCAGCUCUACCCCACCGCUGGGUUACUCUUAGCUCAGCUCAGUCCUGGUGGCACAAACAUCUGAAUAUUCAAGCCCAAGAAAAUGAUCUUCAACUCUGUGUGUAUGCGAUGAGUAUGUCAACAAAUGAAAAUCUAAUGUAAUAUAGAGUAUUGUGUUUUCUGAAUUGUUGUCUGAUGCUUUUAAAUGUCUGUUUGAAUGACAUCAAAAGUGGUUUAAAUUCAAGAAAUAACUUCUUAUAAGAUCUUAUUAAAAACCAUGACUAUAGCAUUGAUGGUUCAGCAGUAGAAUUCUCCCCUACCAUGUGAGAGGUUCAGUUUGCAAAAAGGUUCAGGUGCCAAAGCAGGUAUGAUUGUCCUGCACUACUGCCUCUCUCCUAUCCCCUGAUGCACCAAACUCCUAUCCUGCUACUCUGAUAUAAGAAUUGCACCAUGUUCCUCUAAACACAUAUGGCAAUAAAAAUUGAAACAGCA